AAUGAGUGGAUUCUAUUUUUCUGUGAACAGGUGGGCGUUAUACCAAGGACGAUUUCAAAGAGUACGAGAAGGAACGUGACAAACCUUCAAAACUUGCUCUGAAAGAGAAGGUAAAACCAAAGCAAGAUGCCAAGUAUGACCUUGUGCUGGAUGAGGAUGUAGAAGAGUCUCAAACAAGUCACUCACACUUGGCUAAAAAACAAAA